GAUGAACGCUGGCGGCGUGCUUAACACAUGCAAGUCGAACGAUGAAGCCCAGCUUGCUGGGUGGAUUAGUGGCGAACGGGUGAGUAACACGUGAGUAACCUGCCCUUAACUCUGGGAUAAGCCUGGGAAACUGGGUCUAAUACCGGAUAGGAGCGUCCACCGCAUGGUGGGUGUUGGAAAGAUUUAUCGGUUUUGGAUGGACUCGCGGCCUAUCAGCUUGUUGGUGGGGGAGUGGCUCACCAAGGCGAUGACGGGUAGCCGGCCUGAGAGGGUGACCGGCCACAGUGGGACUGAGAUGCGGCCCAGACUCCUACGGGAGGCAGCAGUGGGGAAUAUUGCACAAUGGGCGGAAGCCUGCUGCAGCAACGCCGCGUGCGGGAGGACGGCCUACGGGUGGUAAACCGCUUUAGCAGGUGACGAAGCGUGAGUGACGGUACUGGGUAAAGAAGCAACGGCUAACUACGUG
rnacentral:rRNA from 1 species